rnacentral:rRNA from 1 species
UACGGAGGAUGCGAGCGUUAUCCGGAUUUAUUGGGUUUAAAGGGUGCGUAGGCGGCUUUUUAAGUCAGCGGUGAAAUUUUGCAGCUUAACUGUAACAGUGCCGUUGAUACUGGGGAGCUAGGAUUUGGUUGCUGUGGGUGGAAUGUGUGGUGUAGCGGUGAAAUGCUUAGAGAUCACACAGAAUAUCGAUUGCAAAGGCAGCUCACAAAGCCAAGAUUGACGCUGAGGCACGAAAGUGUGGGGAUCAAACAGGAUUA